rnacentral:tRNA from 1 species
AACAGGAUGGCCGAGUUCAGGCAAUAAAUUGUAAAUUUAUUUACGAGAUUAAUUCUCUCUUGUUA